rnacentral:rRNA from 1 species
ACGGAGCACCCCUGAAGGAGUUUUCGGACAACGGAAGGGAAUGCUUAGUGGCGGACUGGUGAGUAACGCGUGAGGAACCUGCCUUUCGGAGGGGGACAACAGUUGGAAACGACUGCUAAUACCGCAUGACGUAUCGGGAUCGCAUGGUCUUGAUACCAAAGAUUUUAUCGCCGAAAGAUGGCCUCGCGUCUGAUUAGCUAGUUGGUGGGGUAACGGCCUACCAAGGCGACGAUCAGUAGCCGGACUGAGAGGUUGGCCGGCCACAUUGGGACUGAGAUACGGCCCAGACUCCUACGGGAGGCAGCAGUGGGGAAUAUUGGGCAAUGGACGCAAGUCUGACCCAGCAACGCCGCGUGAAGGAAGAAGGCUUUCGGGUUGUAAACUUCUUUUAAGGGGGAAGAGCAGAAGACGGUACCCCUUGAAUAAGCCACGGCUAACUACGUGCCAGCAGCCGCGGUAAUACGUAGGUGGCAAGCGUUGUCCGGAUUUACUGGGUGUAAAGGGCGUGCAGCCGGAGAGACAAGUCAGAUGUGAAAUCCACAGGCUCAACCUGCGAACUGCAUUUGAAACUGUUUCCCUUGAGUAUCGGAGAGGUCAUCGGAAUUCCUAGUGUAGCGGUGAAAUG